rnacentral:rRNA from 1 species
UCGAGAAUAUUUGACAAUGGGCGAAAGCCUGAUCAAGCGACGUCGCGUGUGGGAUUAAGAUCUUCGGAUUGUAAACCACUUUUCUAGGGGAAGAACUUUGACUGUACCCUAGGAAUAAGGGGUGACUAAACUCGUGCCAGCAGUAGCGGUAAUACGAGUGCCCCAAGCGUUAUCCGGAUUUAUUGGGCGUAAAGGGUCUGUAGGUGGUUUGUUAAGUUUCUCGUUAAAGCUCCAGGGCUUAACCUUGGAAAAGCGGGAAAAACUGGCAAACUAGAGGAUGUUAGAGGCUGAUGGAACACUUGGUGAAGGGGUGGAAUCCGUUGAUAUCAAGUGGAACACCGAAAGCGAAGGCAAUCAGCUGGGACAGUCCUGACACUGAAAGACGAAAGCGUGGGGAGAGAAAAGG